GAUGAAGAACGUAGCGAAAUGCGAUAAGUAAUGCGAAUUGCAGAAUUUCCGUGAGUCAUCGAAUCUUUGAACGCACAUUGCGCCCACUGGUAUUCCGGUGGGCAUGCCUGUUCGAGCGUCAUUAUCCUCCCUCAAACCUCGGGUUUGGUGUUGGGCCCGCGUCGGUCGUCCGCGACCGACUGGCCCCAAAGACAAUGACGGCGUCCGUGGGACCCUCGGUGCAACGAGCUUUUCAGAGCACGCGUCGAGUAUCAAGGACCUUCCGGGCCGGUCUAACCUCCAAUUUAUCACAAGGUUGACCUCGGAUCAGGUAGGAAUACCCGCUGAACUUAAGCAUAUCAAUAAGCGGAGGA
rnacentral:misc_RNA from 1 species